rnacentral:tRNA from 2 species
GGAGGGUUGGCCGAGUGGUCUAAGGCGGCAGACUUAAGAUCUGUUGGAGAGUUCUCCGCGCGAGUUCGAACCUCGCAUCCUUCA